rnacentral:tRNA from 1 species
GCGAAAGUGGCGGAAUUGGUAGACGCACUGGAUUUAGGUUCCAGCGCCGAAAGGUGUGUGGGUUCGAGUCCCUCCUUUCGCACCA